GUCUAGUACUCAGAGUUUGAUCCUGGCUCAGGACGAACGCUGGCGGCGUGCCUAACACAUGCAAGUCAACGGGGUACCUUCGGGUACUUAGUGGCGAACGGGUGAGUAACGCGUGAGGAACCUACCUUCCAGUGGGGGACAACAGUUGGAAACGACUGCUAAUACCGCAUAACACAACGAGACCGCAUGAUCUUGUUGUCAAAGCUUUAUGUGCUGGAAGAUGGCCUCGCGUCUGAUUAGCUAGUUGGUGGGGUAACGGCCUACCAAGGCGACGAUCAGUAGCCGGACUGAGAGGUUGAACGGCCACAUCGGGACUGAGAUACGGCCCAG
rnacentral:rRNA from 1 species